AACGAACGCUGGCGGCAGGCUUAACACAUGCAAGUCGAACGGGUGUAGCAAUAUAUCAGUGGCAGACGGGUGAGUAACACGUGGGAACCUUCCUAGGGGUACGGAACAACUCAGGGAAACUUGAGCUAAUACCGUAUACGUCCGUGAGGAGAAAGAUUUAUCGCCCUUAGACGGGCCCGCGUCGGAUCAGCUAGUUGGUGGGGUAACGGCCUACCAAGGCGACGAUCCGUAGCUGAUCUUAGAGGAUGAUCAGCCACACUGGGACUGAGACACGGCCCAGACUCCUACGGGAGGCAGCAGUGGGGAAUCUUGGACAAUGGGCGCAAGCCUGAUCCAGCCAUGCCGCGUGAGUGAAGAAGGUCUUCGGAUUGUAAAGCUCUUUUGCCAGGGACGAUAAUGACGGUACCUGGAGAAUAAGCCCCGGCAAACUUCGUGCCAGCAGCCGCGUAA
rnacentral:rRNA from 1 species